GAUGAACGCUGGCGGCGUGCCUAAUACAUGCAAGUCGAGCGAACGGACGAGAAGCUUGCUUUUCUGAUGUUAGCGGCGGACGGGUGAGUAACACGUGGAUAACCUACCUAUAAGACUGGGAUAACUUCGGGAAACCGGAGCUAAUACCGGAUAAUAUUUUGAACCGCAUGGUUCAAAAGUGAAAGACGGUCUUGCUGUCACUUAUAGAUGGAUCCGCGCUGCAUUAGCUAGUUGGUAAGGUAACGGCUUACCAAGGCAACGAUGCAUAGCCGACCUGAGAGGGUGAUCGGCCACACUGGAACUGAGACACGGUCCAGACUCCUACGGGAGGCAGCAGUAGGGAAUCUUCCGCAAUGGGCGAAAGCCUGACGGAGCAACGCCGCGUGAGUGAUGAAGGUCUUCGGAUCGUAAAACUCUGUUAUUAGGGAAUAACAUAUGUGUAAGUAACUGUGCACAUCUUGACGGUACCUAAUCAGAAAGCCACGGCUAACUACGUG
rnacentral:rRNA from 1 species